UUUUUAGUGUGAGGAGGCCCUUCCUCUAGGCGGAGCAAAGCGAAGCGAGCUGCACUGAGGGACAGCCCACGGAUACCAUCGCCCCAUUCUUUCUCAGCCCUGGGAGAAAAAGAGGCAUAGUCAACAUAUACUAAGCAUGGGGAGCCUACUGUGAGACUGACCACCCUAAACCACAGAUGAUCCACAACACAGGCUGGUAGAGUUACUCACUUACCCCCCAACCUAUCCUGUAUCUAUUCAAAAGAACUAUGUGGAAUGUCAACUCAGAUUAAGAAAUUACUUGUAAUUGUGAUUUUGAAAAUAAUAAAAAAGUCUAAGGAAA